AGUGAAUGGGGAGCAACCUAGUUGUGCGUGUGUAAAGGUAGUGCCAAGAAAAGCGAUGAUCAUGUUGAAAAUCAAUUCCCGGUACCCGAAACCGACACAGGUGGGCAAGUAGAGAAUACUAAGGGGCGCGAGGUAACUCUCUCCAAGGAACUCGGCAAAAUGACCCCGUAACUUAGGGAGAAGGGGUGCCACCGAGAGGUGGUCGCAGUGAAGAGGCCCAGGCGACUGUUUAGCAAAAACAUAGGUCUCUGCAAACUCGAAAGAGGAGGUAUAGGGGCUGACGCCUGCCCAGUGCCGGAAGGUUAAAGAAGUUGGUCAGUCUUAGGAUGAAGCUAGCGACUGAAGCCCCGGUGAACGGCGGCCGUAACUAUAACGGUCCUAAGGUAGCGAAAUUCCUUGUCGGGUAAGUUCCGACCCGCACGAAAGGCGUAACGAUCUGGGCUCUGUCUCGGAGAGAGGCUCGGCGAAAUAGGAUUGUCUGUGAAGAUACGGACUACCUGCAUUUGGACAGAAAGACCCUAUGAAGCUUUACUAUAGCUUGGAAUUGUGUUCGGGCUUCCUGUGCGCAGGAUAGGUGGGAGGCGUAGAAGGUAUUCUUGUGGGGAUACUGGAGCCAACGGUGAGAUACCACUCUCAGGAGGCUAGAAUUCUAACUUAAUUAAGGACAGUUUCAGGUGGGUAGUUUGACUGGGGCGGUCGCCUCCAAAAAGGUAACGGAGGCGUACAAAGGUUCCCUCAGACUGGUUGGAAAUCAGUCGAAGAGUGCAAAGGCAGAAGGGAGCUUGACUGCGAGAAGUACAGUUCGAGCAGGGUGGAAACACGGUCUUAGUGAUCCGACGGUGCUGUGUGGAAGGGCCGUCGCUCAACGGAUAAAAGUUACUCUAGGAUAACAGGCUGAUCUCCCCCAAGAGUUCACAUCGACGGGGAGGUUUGGCACCUCGAUGUCGGCUCAUCGCAACCUGGGGCGGAAGUACGUCCCAAGGGUUGGGCUGUUCGCCCAUUAAAGCGGUACGUGAGCUGGGUUCAGAACGUCGUGAGACAGUUCGGUCCAUAUCCGAUGUAGGCGUGAGAAUAUUGAGAGGAGCCUUCCUUAGUACGAGAGGACCGGGAAGGGCGCACCGCUGGUGUACCUGUUAUGAUGCCAAUUGUAAACGCAGGGUAGCCAAGUGCGGAGAGGAUAACCGCUGAAAGCAUCUAAGUGGGAAGCCCACCUCAAGAUGAGUAUUCUGGUGUAAGGUCACGGGAAGACGACCCGUAAAUAGGCACGAGGUGGAAGUGCAGAGAUGUAUGAAGCCGAAGUGUACUAAUAGACCGUCGGCUUGAC
rnacentral:rRNA from 1 species